GUGCUCGCUUUGGUAGCACAUAUACUAAAAUUGGAACGUUACAGAGAAGAUCAGCAUGGCCUCUGUGCAAGGAUGACAAAGUGUGUUUUAACAAUAUUGACUUUGUAU